ACCUUCAUGGUGUAGUGGUCAGCACGCUCGGCGCGUAUUCGAGAAGUCCGUGGUUCGAGUCCCGGCGAGGGCA
rnacentral:tRNA from 1 species